rnacentral:tRNA from 1 species
CGCAGGGUGGCGCAGUUCGGUAGCGCGCUUGGCUCAUAACCAAGAGGCAGUCUGUUCGAAUCCGGCUCCUGCAACCA